GUUCAAAUAGCUCAGUUGGUAGAGCGUGAGACUGAAAAUCUUAAGGUCGGUGGUUCAAACCCGCCUUUGAACA
rnacentral:tRNA from 1 species